rnacentral:rRNA from 1 species
UACGGGGGGGGCAAGCGUUGUUCGGAAUUACUGGGCGUAAAGCGCGCGUAGGCGGCUUUUCAAGUCAGGCGUGAAAGCCCCAGGCUUAACCUGGGAACUGCGUUUGAUACUGUUAAGCUAGAGUGUGGAAGGGGCGAGUGGAAUUCCUGGUGUAGCGGUGAAAUGCGCAGAUAUCAGGAGGAACACCAAUGGCGAAGGCAGCUCGCUGGGACGUGACUGACGCUGAGACGCGAAAGCGUGGGGAGCAAACAGG